GACCGCGUAGCUCAACUGGCAGAGUAUUGGGCUAGUAUUCCAAAGGUCGUAGGUUCGAUUCCCACCGUGGCCA
rnacentral:tRNA from 1 species